CCCUACGGGGCGCAGCAGUGAGGAAUAUUGGUCAAUGGGCGGGAGCCUGAACCAGCCAAGUCGCGUGAGGGAAGACGGUCCUAUGGAUUGUAAACCUCUUUAGGCGGGGAGCAAUGCCGGGCACGCGUGCCCGGAGGGAGAGUACCCGCAGAAUAAGCAUCGGCUAACUCCGUGCCAGCAGCCGCGGUAAUACGGAGGAUGCGUGCGUUAUCCGGAUUUAUUGGGUUUAAAGGGUGCGUAGGCGGAUUUUUAAUUCAGCGGUAAAAUGUCCGGGUUCAACCCGGGCCGGCCUUUGAAACUGGGGG
rnacentral:rRNA from 1 species